UAUAGUUUUUAGUUUUCAUUUAGGAAAAUAAAGUUUAUAAUAAAAUGUAUAUAUUUUUCAGCGUAUUAUGCCAUUAUAUGCAUUCUAUGUACUAUUUGUUUAAGAUGGCGGUGGCUGUGUUUUUGACAAAUGUCCGACCACAUCUCACGUUCAAUCCACAGAAAAUAUGAUUGCCACGACACAAGUUGUCACUACAAAUGAGAAAUCAACAACCAAUUUCAUACUAGAUGUAAGAGAUCAGGAUGCCCUAUCUGCAGCUGUAGUUGGUGCCUUUUU